rnacentral:rRNA from 1 species
GAUGAACGCUGGCGGCGUGCUUAACACAUGCAAGUCGAACGAUGAAGCCCAGCCUGCUGGGCGGAUUAGUGGCGAACGGGUGAGUAACACGUGAGUAACCUGCCCUUGACUCUGGGAUAAGCCCGGGAAACUGGGUCUAAUACCGGAUAGGAGCGCCUGUCGCAUGACGGGUGCUGGAAAGAUUUUUCGGUCAUGGAUGGACUCGCGGCCUAUCAGCUUGUUGGUGAGGUAACGGCUCACCAAGGCGACGACGGGUAGCCGGCCUGAGAGGGUGACCGGCCACACUGGGACUGAGACACGGCCCAGACUCCUACGGGAGGCAGCAGUGGGGAAUAUUGCACAAUGGGCGGAAGCCUGAUGCAGCGACGCCGCGUGAGGGAUGACGGCCUUCGGGUUGUAAACCUCUUUCAGUAGGGAAGAAAGCGAAAGUGACGGUACCU